rnacentral:rRNA from 1 species
GACGUAGGGUGCAAGCGUUGUCCGGAUUUAUUGGGCGUAAAGAGCUCGUAGGCGGCUUGUUGCGUCGACUGUGAAAACCCGCGGCUUAACCGCGGGCUUGCAGUUGAUACGGGCAGGCUAGAGUUCGGUAGGGGAGACUGGAAUUCCUGGUGUAGCGGUGGAAUGCGCAGAUAUCAGGAGGAACACCGAUGGCGAAGGCAGAUCUCUGGGCCGUAACUGACGCUGAGGAGCGAAAGCAUGGGGAGCGAACAGG